AUGCUAUAUUUGCCAAAAAAACCUGGGAAAAAGAAAUGGCGUUGUACGGCCCGCUCUAUUGGCCCUGCUCAAUAUGUGAUGCGAUUCCCUAAUGCUAGUGAAGUAGAGAGGGCAUGUUGUUAUGGGAAACGCUUGCCUCUGAAGGAGGGGAAUAUUGUUGUCUGUAUUACUCCUUGGACUGCUUCUAUUGGAGCUAAAGGUAUUAUGGAAAAAGCAUGGGUUAGGGUGCGCAACAUUCCCAUAGAGAAAAGAUGCACUGAACAUAUAGCUUAUGCUGGAGCUCUAGUGGGGAUUACUUUAGAAGUUGAUGAAUCGACUGUUUAUAAACCUGAAUAUGCUAGAAUCCUUCUCGGUUGUAGAGAUGUUGAGAAAAUUCCCCCUUCAGCUGAAGGAAUGCUGGGAGAACAGUAUUAUGAUCUCUCCUAUGAAGUUGAAAAGGUUGUGGCUAUGGGCGCUGAGAAAAGUCAAACUUAUACUGCUAUGGAUAGCAGUGCAUCUCCUUCCUUCCCCAAGAAAGCGAGGAUGGACUCAUAUCCUGCUUCUUCCAUGGGGCAGGGGGAGACGAGUACAUCUAUGGCUGGCAAUUUCUCUUCUCAGAAUUAUGAUAAGGGUAUGCAGAGGCUUCCUGCAGUUGCUGAGAGUGAAGAAGAAGAAGAAAGUGAUGAAGGUAACAACACAGAGCUGCUGAUUGAGACUAUGGCCAGAGAACAUGCGGCUGAAAAAAUGUCUUAUUGUGGCUCUCAAUCUGGUAAAAUAUCGUGUGAGAAUGUCUCUGAGGAUCUGGAUGUGGAAGAGAUGACUGAAUCUCCCAGUAGUGAGAUCAGUGUACAUAAAGGUGCUUGGGGGAUGAUUACUCCGGUUCCACCCUCACCUUUGUUUGUAUGCCACGAUGUGAAUACUUAUGGGAAUGCUUUUCCUCCCUUGUCAGACUAUGUGGUUUGGCCUUCCCUGCCUCAUAUUGUGCCUCUCGAGGAGGGAUCCAUGGAAGGAGGGGAAAACUGUAGUGUCUAUACAGUUGAAUCUCCCUCUGGAUCACCAAUUCAUGACAGCAUGAGUCAAGAAGAGGAAGUCUCACGCAGACAGAAGCAGAAGCUGGAGAAGGUGGGAGAUGUGGCUACCAACAGAAUGAGGAAGCGUAAUUUGGAAGGUUUGCUAAAAGAAGAAGAAAGGGCGAAGCUCCAGGCUGGAGUGAAGAGGUUGGCUCACGCGGCUGCUGCACUGGCGGACAGAUCUCUUACUCGAGGCAGAUCCCUCUUGAGAGACAGAGAUGGGAUCCAGAUUGGUUAG
rnacentral:rRNA from 1 species